AAUGUGAUGCAGCAAGUCAUGCGCGUGGAGAACAUUAUUAUUGCGAUGGUACUGAAUCACUGACAAUUCUGCGAGUAUCUGGAGGAAUACCAGACAGAAUACGGCGACUUGAUAUUGCACAAUGAGGUGAGAUGAUGGCUGGAAAGAUGUGUUUUUUUCGCAAGCAAGAUGGAGAGAGGAGCCAGAGCUGGAUGAUCCACAGUGGAUAUUAAAGCUGGCUGUUUUAACUGACAUCACCUGCCACCUGAACACGGUGAAUCUCCAGCUCCAAGGGAAAGCUAAAACUCCAGGCAAAAUGCUGCGUGUGGUCACGUCAUUUCAAAAUAAAUCACCACACUGUCCAUACCUGACAGACAAUUUGUUCAUUUCACAAAACUCAGAGCAGUCAUCACAUCCAACCCAGACAUACUGUAACAUUUUAGCCAUGAUGCAUUUGUGCGUGUGUUGGAAGAGUUGAAGUUGGAGUCAAGAUUAUCAUGGAGUACAAGGAGUUAUUCCAACGUCAUUGAGAAUCCCUUUCAUGUACUAGUGUCAUCUCUGACCCCAGUCAUCCCAGCGCUCUGUCCUGACCGUGCUGGAAUAGAGAGUGAGAUAGUGGAGCUUCAGGCAAAUUACACAUUGCAAGGUGAACAAUGAUCAGGUGUUACCCAUUUAUGGAGCCUUGUGUCAGACAGAGUAUCCACUUCUGAAGCAGUGUGUGCAAAAGGUGACAUUUUUUGUCAGCACAUUCAUGUGAAGCAAUAUUUUCAACAAUGAACAUUGUGAAACAAAAACAGAGAAACAGACUGACCAAUGCACACCUGGAUUGCCUCACAGGGAUAGCAACAACAGACUAUACAUUUUGAAUGCAUUCAGUCAAGGAGCAGAAGGGACAUUUUUGCUCAUCCAACUACUGAGUUCCUGAAACAUGUCAAUGGUCUGAUGCAUGGCCUCUGCAGGAGUGCUUGGCCACCCACUCAGUUACCAGUGACCUAUUCUGCCACAUCCCAGGAAAAGGAGAGAGCAGCACCACCUCUCCUUAAAUCCAUACUCAUUGACAUAAGUGUCAUGAAAAGCCAGAAGAUUCACGAGGUUGAUGUGUUGUGGGCCCUCUGGAAAGUCCUGAAAUAUGCCCCUGAGCUGCAAACUUUUGCCCACUAGGUGGGAACCUAUGCAAACUGCUUUACUGGCACAAAGACUAUCUUUGAAUAGCAGAAGGACAUUGAGACGGACAGUCAGCUCUUCCAUCUUUCCAAAUGGCUACACAAAGGCUUGUCAGAGAGGAAAGUACAUUCGCCAAGUAUAAAAUGUAUUUAUGUUUUUCUUUUGAUAGGCUUACGAUCCCAGCGUGUCAAACACCUGAUGAAUUCUCAAGUUGAAUUGUUUGUGGUUUGUGAAUUUUGACUGAAAAUGUAUUUUGACUGAACAGAAAUUGAUGACCUAAAUGUACGUGGACCUUCUCUGCCACAUUGAAAAUGUACUUGUUUAUUUAUAUCAAAUAACGAGUAUUGAUUGGAAAUUGUGGUUUUGAUUAACCAAAAUGAUCUGGCUAUUUUUGAGUUUUUAUGCAUCACUGGCUGAGCUAAAUACAGUAUUUCAUGAGACCCUAACUGCCGGCUGUUUACCAACUGUGCUACAAAAUUGCAAACCCCGCUGAAAAAGAACAUUACUCCAAUUGUAAUAAUUGUAAUGGUUCCAGUGUCUUAUAUGCAAUGGGUGCAUGGCCCAUUUAGAUAACUGGUCAGUAGUUCAAUCAGAUUUCAACCAAAAACCACAUAUCAACCAAAAUAAGACAUUUUUCAUGAUGUCAAAAAGACAUCAUGAAAAAGACGUCUUAAUCUGGUUGUGAUCUGGUUAUAUUUCAACCAAUAAACGACGUCUAACAGUAAAAGCCUAACCUACAAAAUCAUGACAAGCUACCAAAGCUUAUAGUUUUUAUUAAAUUGGUAUUUAGAUACCAAACAAGAUGUAAAGGUAAUUUACAGUCCAUUGUUGGUUAAAUAAUUCCAAUACAACUCUCUAGUGGUUAGUGGAGGCGUGAGUGACUUGUAUCUAUGUUGCUGAGAGGAACCAGAACCAACAUUGACACGUUCUUUACUCUGACAGCAAACUUCAAAUCAUUACAAAAUCCAUAUUUGACUCACUGUACCAUUUAAGGCGUAAACACAAAGGAUUAGUACACAGUUCAUCAUACCGGGAAGGCCUAGUCUUCAUUGAAAAUAAAUAUACUGUACUGUCCUAGAAAGAGAAAGGCAGGUGAAUUGGAAAAUAUAUAUAUACACUGUAUGUGCAAUACACAGUGAUCCUACUUUCAUUUGCAAACUACCCAUCCUCUAUUGCACACAUAUAAACAGUUUAUUACAAUUAAUCCACUUUUCCCACACUAUAGAUAGUUGAUAAAGCUAUAUUAUGCUCUAUUACAUGUCUUGUGGGAACAUUUUUCAUUGUGUUCUGUAGUUAUGAAACAUUAAGUAAAUUAAUGUACAAGGCAUGCCCAAAGGUUCAAUGUGAGUAAUUUGAAUGUCUUUGCAAAAUAGUGGCUUUAGAUGAGCUAUGGUAAGAGGAGAUCCUUAGCAUCCCUUUGCUUUGCAGUCUUAUUAAUGAAGCAUUUGCGCUUGGUUCAUAGAACCGGGGUUAUGUCAGUAACCUCCAGUAGCCGCUAGAUACGGUUGUAAUAAACAGAGCGGUUUCUGUUUUCUUCCUACAAAAGCUGAAAGAUAAGACUCUCAGGAACACGAAGGUACGUACUGUACUGUUUCUGUACUGUUAUUUUCUACACAGAUCAUACAUCAUCAACAUUAUUGCCUGAUGAUCUUCUGAACUUCCCAAUACCUUUCUGAUGCAUUUCAGUCACUUCAAACCACGGGUUAGGAACCAAAAUUAUUUUCCAAUCAUUUAGUUCUGAACCGAAGCAUAAUUUUUUUCGUUCUGUUCCAAUGUUUCAACCAGAAAAAUAAAGUUCUGAACAGGUUCAAACCCAAAAAAGUACUGGUUUAUAUUGUUCCUUUCUGUUCUUUUUUAAACCUCUGAAAUAUACACUACACGGCCAAAAGUAUGUGAACACCUGCUCGUCAAACAUCUCAUUCCAAAAUCAUUUGCAUUAAUAUGGAGUUGCUCCCCCCUUUGCUGCUAUAACAGCCUCUACUCUUUUGGGAAGGCUUUCCACUAGAUGUUGGAACAUUGCUACGGGACUUGCUUCCAUUCAGCCACAAGGGCAUUGUCAUACUGAAACAGGAAAGUUGGAAGCACAGAAUCAUCUACAAUGUCAUUGUAUGGUGUAGCGUUAAGAUUUCCCUUCACUGGAUUCAAGGGGCCUAGCCAAAACCAUGAAAAACAGCCCCAGACCAUUAUUCUAUUAUUCCUCCUCCACCAAACUUUACAGUUGGCACUAGCGUUAUCCUUGCAACUGCCAAACCCAGAUUUGACAAACUGACUUGUUGGAAAGAUGGAAUCCUAUGACGUUGCCAUAUUGAAAGUCACUUAGCUCUUCAGUAAGGCCAUUCUACUGCCAAUGUCCGCCUACAGAGACUGCUUAGCUGUGUGCUCGAUUUUCUACACUGGUCAGCAAGGGCGUAGCUGAAAUAGCCAAAUCCACCAAUUUGAAGGGAUGCCCACAUAUUUUGUAGUGUAUAUAUUUUUUACAUUUAGCUCGACAUUAAAUUACUUCAACAAUCAGUGCGGAUAAAGCAGCUUGCUGUGGAACGUGUAAGCAAUUUUAGCUGUAUAGGAAAGUUGUGAGAGCACAUUUUAACAGCAUGGUUUAAUCACAAUGAAAGACAAACACACACUGUGCUGUCAGUCACAGUGUAGGACACAAGAUGCCACAUCAAUUUUGAGGGUGAGAGAGAAUGGAGGAAGCUUCAUUUGAAGCGCUGGACAUCUUGUUAAUGACAUGCAUUAUCUGAAUUAGGCCCACAGAAUUAUAACUACAGAGGAGCGGCUUCUAUGGAGGAACUUUAAAUGUCUUUCAACUUCCGAGUUGGUUUAUUAACGUUGGAGUAUUGCAAACGUUAGCUAGCUAGCUUGUGUGUGCAGAGCAGCACCAGAAUUAAAAACACGUCUUACCUUAUUGUAGUUAAUAAAUCCAUUGUGAAAUGUGAUAACUAUAGCAUCCUUAACUAACAUUUUAAAAAGUCAAUCCAUUCUUCUCCAAUAAACAUAUCUCUCUAAUACCUGAAUUACUCUUGUAACAUCGUCAGUAGGCUACAGUAACCUAUGCUUCAAAGGGGAGGGGCAGACAGCCGACAUAAAGAUUUACAGCUGGCAGGCAGAAGCUGGAAUACAUUUCUGAGUGACAGUCACUUCAGAUUGAAAUACUGUCUGACUGAUUUGUAAUAGACUGUCAUAGGCCCAAUAAAAAAGUUAAAAAGGGGUCACGGGACAAAACAUUUUGGGAACCCCUGCUUUACAGCAAGUUCAUCAGUACAAACCUCAUCCGAGUGUCUACCCAAGGUCUCUUCAGUCAAUACUUUCACCAAUACAUACUGAAAUAGCCCGUGUCCAUGCAGUGUGAAUCUAGCCUGGUCCCAGAUCUACAUGUGCUUUAGCCAACUAUGACAGACAUCGCAUGAUAACGAUAGUCAGAGGAGUUGGCUAGACUACUAGAGCA
rnacentral:lncRNA from 8 species